rnacentral:rRNA from 1 species
UAUCUCUGUAGAGUCUGCAUAUCAAUAAGCGGAGGAAAAGAAACUAACUAGGAAUUCCCCUAGUAACGGCGAGUGAAGCGGGGAAGAGCUCAAAUUUGAAAUCUUCAAGGGUUUCCCUUGACGAAUUGUAGUUUAAAGAAGUGUUUUCUGUUGGAGUUUUCGGUAAAAGUUCUUUGGAAUAGGACAUCAUAGAGGGUGAGAAUCCCGUAUUUGGUACCAUAUCCUCCUAACUUUGUGAUACACUUUCAACGAGUCGGAUUGUUUGGGAAUGCAGUCCAAAAUGGGUGGUAAAUUUCAUCUAAAGCUAAAUAUUGGCGAGAGACCGAUAGCGAACAAGUACCGUGAGGGAAAGAUGAAAAGAACUUUGAAAAGAGAGUUAAACAGUACGUGAAAUUGUCAAAAGGGAAGCGUUUGACACCAGUGUUGUUUUCUCGAAAAUCAAUUAAAAAUGGCCGGAUUUUGUGUUGUAUUGACUUUAUCAGCUUUCUGCACUUUUUUCUUGUCCUUUUUUAAUGCACUUUUCGUUUAACAAGUCGACAUCAAUUUCUUUUGUUGUAAAAGGGUCAUUGGAAGGUGGCUUUCUUUUCGGAGAAAGUGUUUAUAGCCUUUGGCCUCUGCAAUCGGAGAGAUUGAGGUCUGCAGCGUAGAUCCUUCGGGGUUAGACACAUUUGUGCUAAGUUAUAGCCUUUCAUAGACAACUUGUUGACUAUGAUCAGUCAUGUAGCUUACUCGCUUAUGCUAUUUUACCUACGCUUAGGAUGUUGAUGUGAUACUGCGAGCA